rnacentral:lncRNA from 1 species
GCACCCGAUCCAAUAAUAAUAUAUAUAUGUGUCGGCGUGGCACCUGAUCCAAUAUUAAUAUAUAUAUGUGUUGGCGUGACACCUGAUCCAAUGAUAAUAAUAAUACACAUAACACAAACACAACCAACCAUCGCCUACCCGCCAUAAAUCCUUCCGGAAUAUCUUUACUCAUAAUCCAAUCACCCACAAUUACCUUCCAGGAUAACACCCAACCACAUCAUAAUGCCAACAAUAACAAAUCAAAUUCAUCAUCAGUCUAAAUCACAACCAACCAUACAUUUAACCAUCCAGACUCCAUGC